GUCGGGGCCCCACGUUGCCCGCGACGCACCGCGCACUGUUGCUAAGCGUGGGCGGGCGGGCGAGCAGGGCGCCGAGGGCACCUGCGGCCCGCGCGCUCCGCACCUGCGCUCCCUCCGCCGGGGCGCCCGAGUGUGCGCGCCGCGUGCGCCUUCGGGAAGCUUCGGUGCGCGCCGUCCGCGCCCUGGCGCCGCCCGCGUCUGUGCUGGAGAGGCGUGGGAGCGGCGUGGGCGCGCCCCUCGCGUCGUGGUGUGAAGGAGCGGUGGCCCCACGGGUGAAGAGUACAGAAGAGGAAGCCGUCAUCUUGUCCUGGAGCGGCAACAUUCUCAACAGAGGGUCGCCCCAUGAGACUUACUGAGACAGAGCAGUGGGAGUAGCCUAGGGAUCAUGGCAGCAAACCAGCCUGUCCAGAGCCGCGUCUUCAGCUGUGCAGCCCGUGGAAGGGAGCGGAGCUGGGACGGCCACAACC